AGAAUGCACUCAUACCUUCCAUGCAUAAGAAAAUGAAUUCUUACAUCUGCGUGCUGCAUUUCAGAUUUCUUGUGCUGAGUUUUACAGAAGAAAAUGAGUGCUUAUUGUAUCUGGAAGGAGAUAUUUAUGGGGCUAACUUCUGGGUAACAUAUGCUGGCUUGUGCCUUGUUUGCUCUGCUAGCUCUGGGCACUUAGAAUGCUUUUUAUCUUGGGAUCUUGGCACACUAUAAAACCAGCCUGACUUCCCCCAUUGGGACAGCUGCGAUUUAUGGAGGCACCGUUCCAUAAAGGGAUUUGUGGCAGGAGACUUGGGCACAGUCCCCAAGUGAGGACAACAGAGGGCUGGAGACUCCUCAGUGUAUUGUCCAGCUUAAGUGAAGAGAAGGCUUAACCUUUAAGUGACAGAGAGCCAAUUCCCCAGACAUCCUUGCUCUGGAAGUGUGGAGGCUAACCUGGAAUCCUCCCCAAGACAAAAGGUAGAAAGCAGCAAGAAACUUGAGACUGUAGUGUUGAAAAAAAAAAGCAAAACUGACCCCUUGUCCUCCACCAUCAUGACUAAAUAGACUAAAUCCUGUACUUACUAUGGGGAAGGAGGCCUUGCUCUUGGCAGUAGUCCCCAAAAUACAUGAAGUACUGGACCCUUCUCAUAAGUUACCAGUACGCUAAUGAGAAGAAUUCUAUCCCGGACUUUUGUAUUAAUAAUAAUGAAAUACUGCAAAUAUAUAACAGCUUUUGCAGAUAGAAUCAGAUUUUUUUCAGGCUUCCCUGGUGGUUCAGUAAGAAUCCGCUUGCCAGUGCAGGAGACCCUAGAGCCGAUGCUGCACAACACGGGAAGCCACCGCAGACAGAAGCCCACGCGCCCCAACCAGAGAGAAGCCGCUGCUCUCCAGGAAAACCUCCCCAAAUUAAGAACCUCCUGCUUGGACCACCCUGAAGUCUGGAAACCCUGCACAACCAAAAAGAAAUACAAUUGUAAAGAAUGAAAGAUAUUUUUCACUCCAGUAGAGACAAGGAAAAGAGAAUUUAAAGAGGUCUACUUUCUUUCAAAAACUAAGUGAAA
ensembl:lncRNA